UGAAUAUCAUCAGGCUGACUCUGGUGGUCGUGCUGGUUCCAGUGCUUGUCUGGACUCUGUGGACGAGGAUGAAGAAAACUCUGAGCUUGAAAUCAGAAGCGAAUGAAGCUGUGGAGAUGAUAGAGUCACACAACUGUCCUGAGUAUGAGAACGUCGCUGCUGCAGCACAGUCAGAAGACACAGAGGAGCAGGAAGACCUGGUGUGAAGCAUCAGGUGCACUGUGAUUGGUUUAUGAAAGUAUUUUGGAGGAAACCGAAGUAUCUCUCUCUCUAUCCCCGGUUGCAGCAGCAGCAGUUUGUACAGCAUGACCUUAAGAGCAAGAGUAUUGUUGUGUUGUUUCUUUUCUGAUGG